rnacentral:lncRNA from 1 species
AAGAUCAGUUCUACACAGAAAGCUAGGCUGUUAGGAAGGUUUCGCUUAUCGCGGAAGACUGAACUUUUAACGGGAAGAUAUCUAAAGAGAAGAUUCUAACGCUGAAGAUUAUGGCUGCCAAGUUUCAUUUGUGUCUGUUGUUGAUUAUUUUGGGAACCAUUACCGUGCAGGGAGCACGCCACCCAGGGAAGCCUCAUUUCUUCCGUCGGCAACCCGGAUCGGAUUGUGCUUCGAUCAAUGGCAAGUGUGUGCCAAUAAAUGAAUAUUGCCCGAACGGAGAAUGCCAUUUGCAGUCGUGUCCGGGUUACCAGGAAAAAUGCUGCUGCCCUGCGGUAUAAGGCAAAUGAAAUGACGUCUGUCUCCAUGAAUGAAAUGACGGCCUUAAUUUAGUAACAAUGUAAUGCCGGGUUAGCUGAAAACAUAUAAACGCUGAAGUGAUUGGGUGAAUUUGGGAAUUCUUAAGGCAGGACUUGCUUGUAAGCACCUGAUUUAAAAUAAUUUUAGAAGGGGAUAAAUAAAGGCUGAUCAUUAAAAGGGUUUGUUCUGUCUC